UCACAGAACAGAGAACAGAAACUGGAAAGGC
rnacentral:piRNA from 1 species